ACCAUCACAUCUGAGUGUGAACAUAUUCUUAAUUAAUGUUCUGGGACUGACUGUCCCUGGUCUAGCAGGCAAGAGAGCAAAGUCAGUUGCAGAAAGUCAGAACAGGCCCUGUCCUGUUCUGUGAAGCAUCAUGCAGGAAUCUGAUACCUGUGAGAAACCAACCUUUCACCUCCCCAGGAAUGACCAAUGACUAGAGAUUUUAACAUUAACAGUUGGGGACACAAUGAAUGGACUCAGAAGAACUGCCUGAGAACGCUUAGAGCAUUGAGGGGACCUGGAACCCUGGUACCAGCAAGGCCCACUCGGCCCAUCCAGCAUCCUGAGCCAUGGCAAGGAACCAGUACUGCAAGUUUGCAAGGCAGCAAUAUCCCCAGAAUACAACUGGAUAAAGAAGAACGAAAAUAGAAAAAAAGAGUUCGAAGCAGCUUCCUUGGCCACCUCUCCUCAGAUGCUAAACUUAGCUAUGUGAGAAUAUAAACUAGUCCUUUUCAACUGUUACAAAGCAGUAAGAUUCACAUUUAUAUGUGGAAAAUUAAAAAAUAAACUAAGAAAUAUCUGCAUCUG